rnacentral:tRNA from 1 species
GCCUGUGUACCCCGACCGGUAAGGGGCUCGAUUCAAGACCGAGUGCGCAAGCGAAGAGGUUCGACUCCUCACAUAGGCA